CGGGCGGGGCGGCCCUCGGCCGCCGCAGGGGGAGCAGCGGCAAAUCGACGGCACCGGGCAAGGUGAGGGCAGGCCCCGGCCCUCCGGCCCCCCCAUCCCGGGCCGCGGUUGCGGAGGCGGCGGGGCCGCCCCGGGAAGGGAAACUCGCCGUGACAGUAACCAGACACCGCGCUGGAACAAAAGCGCCCGGGUCGGCCGCCGCCGCCGCCGCCGCAGCUCACCGGUCAAGUGAGGAAAAAGACUGGCACUGCUUCUGGGUGGCAGUUUUAUGUUCUUUUGUUGCUUAAAGGAAAGUUGAUGAAGAUUUACAUCAGCUUUAUGUUUGAAGAGCCAUAAUGCUGUAGAGGAACGGUUUGCUUUUGCUAAGAGUGGAAAUGCCUCUGCUGAAAUGCUCUUGUGGAAAUAAGAAAACGCAAGAAGAAAAUAUUCAAGUACCCUGUAUCAGUCCACACACAGCUACAAACAGAAGGAAAGUGCACAAAAGGAAAUAUGACUUGGAGGACAAACACAUCUGGCACGUUAUUGAUUACUCCCUACAAAUACAACAUGUCCUCAGCUGGUAGCAAUUACACUAACUGCCACCUCCAAAGGGGAAACUAGUAUUGCCAGUUAUGAAUGAGGUUAACUGUGAAAAGUGAGAAAAGGAAGAAGCUGGAGAUAUGCCUGAGCAGUAUUUCUACAAUGCUUCCAAAAGGAAAUAUAUCCUUAUGCUUUGGAGACAGUGAACAAGGUGGCUUUUGGUCAGAGUGAAUAAGGUUUGUACUAGCAGCCCUUGGGAGUUUAUGUUGAAGAUGGGGAUGAAAGGACGUCUGUCAAGGUGAAGGUCUGCACAGCCGAAAUGGAUUUGGCUUCCUGGACAGUACUCCCACAGGGUCUGCAGACACAUAGUUUACAAGCAGUGUGGAUUGUCACAUUCACUUGAUACUUCUUAUAUUUGCUUGUUUUUGAAGUACCCAAAGUUUUUUACCUUGGACAGUCAUCAGUUGCAUUUUAUGAGCUUGUCCCCCUUCAGCAUUUAAUAUAACGGCAAAGAGGGAAAACAAAAAACAGUGUCUCAAGGACUGCUCAAAAACCUCUAUAAACCAGAAAGAGGUUUAGAUAAAAUGUCUACAUGAACAUAGCCUCCUUCAGGAUUACACAGCAAAGGGCAGUAACAUUCAGAAAUUUUCACACCAGUUCUCUACAAGCUAAUUCUGAUUCUAGAAGGGACCUGGGCAUCACAGCAUGACCCUGCCUUGGUUCACUAGCCUUCCUAAGCAGCAGCACGUUACAUUUGCAUCGAUAGUCUCCUUGCUUGCUUGGCAAUACCCUUCUCCAACAUCCAGUGUUAAGGACCAGUCUGGGCAUCUCUAUAUGAUACUGCAUUGUGCCAUAUAAACAUAACCUUUAAUUUUUUUUGUUUCUUUUGAAAUAAACGGAACUGCUUAAUAAUUGCCAAGAUGA